CCUAACGAUGAUAUCAUAGAAGCAAAAGGUGGAGGCGAGGGAAGCUUACAGCAUCUGGCUUGAUCGUAGGCCGAAGAAAACCCGCGCAGCUUACCUAACGCCAGGUCGCCAUCUUUGAUCGCCUAACGAUGAUAUCCCAGAAGCCAAAGGUGGAGCUAAGGGAAGCUUACAGCAUCCGGCUUGAUCGUAGUGUACAAAGAAAACCUGCACAGCUUACCUAACGCCAGGUUUAAUGAUUUUACCCUAGUUUUAUUUGAUUCAUUGUCCAUUAAUGUCAUGAGUUCAGAACUACAUACAUGAGUUUGUGAUGAUAUUUUUCAUAUAUAGGCUCUUUUUUUAUAUGUGAAAUGCAUAUGCAAUAUUUGAUUUUAAUUAGGUACACAUUGUUUACUAGAUAAAGAUUUUUCAUGGUCUUAUCAGUGCUACUAAAUAUUUUUUUUAAUGUAUUAGCAUGACUAAUCUUAUCUGGUCUUUAGUUUGUACAUAAUUAGUUUGAGAUUUGCAACUGUUAUUGAUCUGAUUAUCAUAUGCUUGGCUAAUUGCUUGCUU